AAUUGUAAUAGAGCCCGUAAGUAUGAACACGCUCUUGAUGUAAUUGUGUCAUAUGAAAAGAAAGUUCGUUGCCCUCGAAAUUUCGGGCAAGAACUAUGAUGUUGGAUGAUGAAAUCCACUUUGAUGCUAUGGGUCUCGAAGACGCCAUUAAAAAACAGAAAUAGUGCAUCCACCCAAAACUAUACUAAGGCCUUGAUUCUCUUGCGCCAUCAC
rnacentral:lncRNA from 1 species